UUACCCUGGCGAACCUUCACCUUCAGGCAAUCUCAGAAAAGAUUACCAACAAGAAGGAAAAGAC
rnacentral:tRNA from 1 species